UACGGGGGGAGCAAGCGUUGUUCGGAUUUACUGGGCGUAAAGGGCGCGUAGGCGGCCUCCGCAAGUCGACUGUGAAAUCUCCGGGCUUAACCCGGAACGGUCAGCCGAUACUGCGGGGCUAGAGUGCAGAAGGGGCAACUGGAAUUCUCGGUGUAGCGGUGAGAUGCGUAGAUAUCGAGAGGAACACCUGCGGCGAAGGCGGGUUGCUGGGCUGACACUGACGCUGAUACGCGAAAGCGUGGGGAGCAAACAGG
rnacentral:rRNA from 1 species